rnacentral:rRNA from 1 species
CGAGAAACGGUCUAGCUUGCUAGAUGCAGUCUAAGUGGCGCACGGGUGAGUAAUGUAUAGGUAAUGUGCCUUUUAGUGGGGGAUAACAGUUGGAAACGACUGCUAAUACCCUAUAUUCCUUAUUAACAAAAGUGUGUAAGGGAAAGAUUUAUUGCUAAAAGAUCGGCCUAUAUUGUAUCAGCUUGUUGGUGAGGUAAUGGCUCACCAAGGCAAUGACGCAUAACUGGUUUGAGAGGAUGAUCAGUCACACUGGAACUGAGACACGGUCCAGACUCCUACGGGAGGCAGCAGUGGGGAAUAUUGCACAAUGGACGGAAGUCUGAUGCAGCAACGCCGCGUGGAGGAUGACGCAUUUCGGUGUGUAAACUCCUUUUAUAUAAGAAGAUAAUGACGGUAUUAUAUGAAUAAGCACCGGCUAACUCCGUGCCAGCAGCCGCGGUAAUACGGGGGGUGCAAGCGUUACUCGGAAUCACUGGGCGUAAAGAGCGUGUAGGCGGAUUGGUAAGUUGGAUGUGAAAGCCUAUGGUUCAACCAUAGAAUUGCUUCCAAAACUGCUAGUCUAGAGUGUGGGAGAGGUAGAUGGAAUUUCUGGUGUAGGGGUAAAAUCCGUAGAGAUCAGAAGGAAUACCGAUUGCGAAGGCGAUCUACUGGAACAUAACUGACGCUGAGACGCGAAAGCGUGGGGAGCAAACAGGAUUAGAUACCCUGGUAGUCCACGCCCUAAACGAUGUACACUAGUUGUUGUGA